rnacentral:rRNA from 1 species
GACUGCUAUCGGAUUGAUACUAAGCCAUGCGAGUCUUUGUAGUAAUACAAGGCAGACGGCUCAGUAACACGUAGUCAACCUACCCUAUGGACAAGAAUAAUCUCGGGAAACUGGGCAUAAUUCUUGAUAGAUCAUAAUGCCUGGAAUGGUUUAUGGUUAAAAUGAUUCGUCGCCAUAGGAUGGGACUGCGGCCUAUCAGCUUGUUGGUGAGGUAAUGGCCCACCAAGGCGAUUACAGGUACGGGCUCUGAGAGGAGAAGCCCGGAGAUGGGUACUGAGACACGGACCCAGGCCCUAUGGGGCGCAGCAGGCGAGAAAACUUUGCAAUGUGCGAAAGCACGACAAGGUUAAUCCGAGUGAUUUCUGCUAAAGAAAUCUUUUGCCAGUCAUAAAACCACUGGUGAAUAAGGGGUGGGCAAGUUCUGGUGUCAGCCGCCGCGGUAAAACCAGCACCUCAAGUGGUCAGGAUGAUUAUUGGGCCUAAAGCAUCCGUAGCCGGCUUUGUUAGUUUUCGGUUAAAUCCAUGUGCUCAACGCAUGGGCUGCCGAAAAUACUGCAUAGCUAGGGAGUGGGAGAGGUAGACGGUACUCAGUAGGAAGGGGUAAAAUCCUUUGAUCUAUUGAUGACCACCUGUGGCGAAGGCGGUCUACCAGAACACGUUCGACGGUGAGGGAUGAAAGCUGGGGGAGCAAACCGGAUUAGAUACCCGGGUAGUCCCAGCUGUAAACGAUGCAGACUCGAUGAUGCAUUGGCAUAAUAGCCAGUGCAGUGUCGCAGGGAAGCCGUUAAGUCUGCCGCCUGGGAAGUACGUACGCAAGUAUGAAACUUAAAGGAUUGGCGGGGGAGCAC